AUAGGACUCAUUUUAGGGUUAGCAGCUUGAGUCUUAUAUCCCAGGACUUCCAGGGCCUCUGGAGAGUUCUGCUUUAAGUGCUUGAUGACAAGGACCUGAAUUCCAAGUCCUAAUAAUUGGUUGCUGUUAAGUUUCUUAGUAAGUUUUUUAGUAAGAUAGACAAACUUAUUUUGGAGGGUACUAACUCUUACAAAGAUAAUAAACAUCACCUCAGGUUAUACCACUUGUGCUCUGAAUCAUAUCAGUGUUCUUUUUUUCACCCUGUUUAAUAAAAUUGUUGUUAGUAUAUUUUGGGGGGAGUAGAAACAAGGUUUUCAUUGAGGCCAAGCUGGCCUCUACCUUGCUGUGUAGUCAAGGAUGACCUUUAACUAUUGAUCUUCCUUCUUUUACCUCCCAGGUACCCAGAUUACAGGCAUAUACCACCACAUCUGGUUUGUGUUUGAUAAUUUGGAGAGGCCUAUGUAUUGGAAAGAACAUUAGUCUAAUAUGAUUUUAAUAUAGUAAUAGAAGCCGUAAGCAUAUGAUAAAAAGAGUGGUACAUAAUGGCCAGGUGUGAUGAUAGAGCUGUGGUGACCCAUUUGGUUCCUCUUUGCUGUCAGCACUUUAUUACUUUAUAAUAUAGUAAUAUAUAAUAAAAAAUAAUAUAUAAUGAAAGUCGAUAUGGAAUAUAAGUCAGGAGACCUAAGGUUCCCUACCAGGUUCUGUCAUUAACUGAACCCUCUGGGCCAGACUCCUCAUCAGUGAAGGAAGUGACUACUGGAGUUCCAUUAUCUUUUCUCUGUACCCUAUUACUGAUUCUUAGGAAGCAGCUAGAAAGUGAAGCUGGUUAGUUUCCAUGACUUCUGAAAUGAUGAGUGGAUGCACUCAUCUGGACUUGGUGGAUGCUAAAGGCUGCUUCUUGUUCCCUUCCCCAUAUCUUUUUCAGGGGGCAGAGUUGUGGGUGGUGUGAGGUCUCCUUUUGUGGAAAAGCAGGUAAAUCCAACUCCUUAGAAGCAUCUGGCAGUAGUUUUGCAUCAUUCCCCUCACUUGCCCCCAGUUCUUAGUCGUUCCGAGUCUUGACCUUGCACUGACAGAAUCAGCUUAGUUUUUCUUUUCUCCCAGAAGUCAAAGAUCUUUGAUUAGUUCUUCAAGAUUGAGAGGGAGGGCCUGAAGAGAUGGCUCUGUAGCCAAGCCACUUGCUUUUCUUCCAGAGGAUCCACAUCACCCUUGUCUGCAAUCUUAAAACUGCCUGUGACUUCAGCUCCAGGGGAUCCAACCCUCCUUUGGUCUCUUUGGGCACGCCCACUAAUUUGCAUGUACCCACACAGACACAGAUACUACAUAUAUAUGGAUAAAAAGAACAAUUAGAAUUUGGAAGGGAUUGGGCUGCUCAGCGCAUAUCUUUUCCUUACUGGACAAACCACAGCUAGGGUGCAGAGACAGUUUUUGUUCUUUAGUGCUCAGUUGACCCCUCCGGUUCCCUGCCUCAGGUAGGCAUGACCAUGGCAAGUUGGGUCAUAUGAGUAAUAGCAGAGUAAUAGCACUACUUGCCUGGCCUAAAUACAGCUCAAAUGUACCAGAAAUCACUGGAGAAUGGUUCUGUGGAAGUUGAUUAAUGAAAGGGGUCAAUUAGAUCUCUUCUCUUCUCUUUCAGUGUGCCUAGCAAUGUCCAGAUGAAUUCAUUUUGAGCAGAUUUGCAAAGAUCUCCUGAGUGGUGAGUGGUAGUGACGUCAAGUCAAGUCCUUCCCUGUGAGGCA